rnacentral:rRNA from 1 species
AUUGAACGCUGGCGGCAGGCCUAACACAUGCAAGUCGAGCGAUCGGCGGACGGGUGAGUAUUGUAUGGGGACUGCCCGAUAGAGGGGGAUAACUCCUGGAAACGGUAUCUAAUACCGCAUACUAUCGGAUAACCCAUAUGGGAUUAGCUAGUGGGUGAGGUAAUGGCUCACCUAGGCGACGAGACCUAGCUGGUCUGAGAGGAUGAUCAGCCACACGGGGAUUGAGACACGGCCCAGACUCUUACGGAGGCAGCAGUGGGGAAUAUUGCAAAAGGGGCGAAAGCCUGAGGCAGCCAUGCCGCGUGUAUGAAGAAGGCCUGAGGGUUGUAAAGUACUUUCAGCCGGGAGGCGUUACCGACAGAAGAAGCACCGGCUAACUCCGUGCCAGCAGCCGCGGUAAUUC